AAUUUAAAGGCGAAUACUGCCCCUGAUUGAUAAAAAUUAAAGGGCUGCAGUAUAUUGACUGUACAAAGGUAGCAUAAUCAUUAGUCUUUUAAUUGAAGACUUGUAUGAAAGAUUUGAUGAAAUAUAUACUGUCUCUAAAUUAUUAAUAAAAAUUAAUUUUUUAGUUAAAAAGCUAAAAUUUACUUAAAAGACGAGAAGACCCUAUAGAGUUUUAUAAUAAUAAUAAUUAAAAUUAAAUAUUUAAUUAUAAAUUAAAAUUGUUAUUAUUAUUUUAUUGGGGUGAUAAAAAAAUUAAAAGAACUUUUUUUUAAAAAAAUUCAUAAAUAAAUGAAUUAUUGAUCCAUUUAUAAUGAUUAGAAGAAAAAAUUACCUUAGGGAUAACAGCGUAAUUUUUUUUUUUAGUACAAAUAAAAAAAAAAGGUUGCGACCUCGAUGUUGGAUUAAAAUAAAAAUUAAAUGUAAAAGUUUAAAAUUUUGAUCUGUUCGAUCAUUAAAAUCUUACAUG
rnacentral:rRNA from 1 species